rnacentral:rRNA from 1 species
UGGGGAAUCAUGGUCAAUGGGCGAAAGCCUGAUGCAGCAACGCCGCGUGAGCGAUGAAGGCCUUCGGGUCGUAAAGCUCUGUCCUCAAGGAAGAUAAUGACGGUACUUGAGGAGGAAGCCCCGGCUAACUACGUGCCAGCAGCCGCGAUAAUACGUAGGGGGCUAGCGUUAUCCGGAAUUACUGGGCGUAAAGGGUGCGUAGGUGGUUUCUUAAGUCAGAGGUUAAAGGCUACGGCUCAACCGUAGUAAGCCUUUGAAACUGGGAAACUUGAGUGCAGGAGAGGAGAGUGGAAUUCCUAGUGUAGCGGUGAAAUGCGUAGAUAUUAGGAGGAACACCAGUUGCGAAGGCGGCUCUCUGGACUGUAGCUGACGCUGAGGCACGAAAGCGUGGGGAGCAAACA